AACGAACGCUGGCGGCAGGCCUAAUACAUGCAAGUCGAACGGAUGUAGCAAUACAUUAGUGGCGCACGGGUGCCUAACGCGUGGGAACAUACCCUUGAGUAAGGAAUAAUGUCUGGAAACGGACACUAAUACCUUAUAAUGACUUCGGUCCAAAGAUUUAUCGCUCAAGGAUUGGCCCGCGUCUGAUUAGCUAGUUGGUGAGGUAACGGCUCACCAAGGCGACGAUCAGGAGCUGGUCUGAGAGGAUGAUCAGCCCCACUGGGACUGAGACACGGCCCAGACUCCUACGGGAGGCAGCAGUAAGGAAUAUUGAACAAUGGGGGAAACCCUGAUCCAGCCAUGCCGCGUGAGUGAAGAAGGCCUUAGGGUCGUAAAGCUCUUUCAAUAGUGAAGAUAAUGACGGUAGCUAUAGAAGAAGCCCCGGCUAAAUUCGUGCCAGCCGCCGCGGUAA
rnacentral:rRNA from 1 species